rnacentral:rRNA from 1 species
UACGAGGGGGGCAAGCGUUGUUCGGAAUUAUUGGGCGUAAAGGGUGCGUAGGCGGUUUGAUAAGUCAUCUGUGAAAUCUCUGGGCUCAACCCAGAGUCUGCAGGCGAAACUGUCGGGCUUGAGUAUGGGAGAGGUGAGUGGAAUUUCCGGUGUAGCGGUGAAAUGCGUAGAUAUCGGAAGGAACACCUGUGGCGAAAGCGGCUCACUGGACCAUUACUGACGCUGAUGCACGAAAGCUAGGGGAG